UGGGGAAUCUUGGACAAUGGGCGCAAGCCUGAUCCAGCAAUGCCGCGUGUGUGAAGAAGGCCUGCGGGUUGUAAAGCACUUUCAGUGUGGAGGAAGGCUUUGACAUGAAUAGUGUCGAAGAUUGACGUUACACACAGAAGAAGCACCGGCUAACUCUGUGCCAGCAGCCGCGGUAAUACAGAGGGUGCAAGCGUUAAUCGGAAUGACUGGGCGUAAAGGGCGCGUAGGCGGGUUUGUAAGUUAGUUGUAAAAUCCCUGGGCUUAACCUAGGAAGGCCAACUAAUACUGCGGACCUAGAGUAUAGGAGAGGGGAGCGGAAUUUCCGGUGUAGCGGUGAAAUGCGUAGAUAUCGGAAGGAACACCUGUGGCGAAGGCGGCUCUCUGGCCUAGUACUGACGCUGAGGCGCGAAAGCGUGGGGAGCAAACAGGAUUAGAUACCCCCGUAGUCC
rnacentral:rRNA from 1 species